GAACCCAUCUCGAACUUAGUUUUUCGUCUUUUCGAAGACGAGGAGCAAUUUUGGAAUUCGAGGAUUUGAGUAGUCUCGGAUUGGUUUAUUCCUUUUCCAGCUCGCUGGAGAAGGGAAGUUUUGUCUUCUAAUCCGGGUUACUUGAAAUCGAGGUUUUUGUAUCGUUCCUUUCCUUGGGUUCGUAUUCCUUGGCCUGAAAGCAUAUCUAUUUAGUCCUGUCAAAGGGAUUAUUGCUCUUUGCUGAAAGUGCUGAAGGAGAACCUGAAGGGAGGAAUGUGCCUCGUUUCACAGGGAACUCUCACAA
rnacentral:misc_RNA from 1 species